AUGAGGCGAACCGGGGGAACUGAAACAUCUAAGUACCCCGAGGAAAAGAAAUCAACCGAGAUUCCCCCAGUAGCGGCGAGCGAACGGGGAGGAGCCCAGAGCCUGAAUCAGCAUGUGUGUUAGUGGAAGCGUCUGGAAAGGCGCGCGAUACAGGGUGACAGCCCCGUACACAAAAGCGCAUGUGCUGUGAGCUCGAUGAGUAGGGCGGGACACGUGGUAUCCUGUCUGAAUAUGGGGGGACCAUCCUCCAAGGCUAAAUACUCCUGACUGACCGAUAGUGAACCAGUACCGUGAGGGAAAGGCGAAAAGAACCCCGGCGAGGGGAGUGAAAAAGAACCUGAAACCGUGUACGUACAAGCAGUGGGAGCACCCUUUGGGGUGUGACUGCGUACCUUUUGUAUAAUGGGUCAGCGACUUAUAUUCUGUAGCAAGGUUAACCGAAUAGGGGAGC
rnacentral:rRNA from 3 species